GACUCCAUAGCUAAGUGGUUAUAGCAUGAGAUUGCAGUUAUUACUUUGGAUAGGUAAUUGUGUAACAAUCUCGAGGUCGCGUGUUCGAGUCACGCUGGGGUCU